ensembl:lncRNA
GUGAUUCAAGUGAUGAGACUGAAACUACUGCACAACAGCACUCGGGUUUUGCCUUGGAUACAUGUCUUGGUCAGCAGUUGUUGUCUUAUGAUGAUGGAAUAUUUUGCAAUGCUCCAGGAGAGAGAAUUCUGUCAUGUAUCAAGGAGGGAACUCUGGACUUAAUUUCCCAGCAGCCACUGCACCAUACUACAUCGUUGUCACAUGACAAUCUGCACCUGUCUCUAACAUCCACCAGUUCCGUGACGUCGUCAUGGAGGUGUGGAAGAGGACUCCAGUGGCAACCUGUGAAGCUCUGAUGAACUCCAUGUCCAAGAGGGUUAAGGCAGUGUUGGAAAAUAAUGGUGGCCACACAAAAUAUUGACACUUUGGGCCCAAUUUGGACAUUUUCACUUAGGGGUGUACUCACUUUUGUUGCCAGCGGUUCGGUUUAGACAUUAAUGGCUGUGUGUUGAG